rnacentral:misc_RNA from 1 species
GGGAUCAGUAGGGAGAACCCAUUUGGAAGUAUUAGAGAGUGAGGAAUCUGCAGAGGAAGGAGAAUGGAAAAUCUUGGAAGGUAAAGAAUGUCGAAGAAUCUCAGGAAGAACAUCAGGGGAAGAUGAUUCUUGAUUUAGAGAAGUGGAAUUGGAAGGAGAAGAAGUUGGAUUUUUGUUGAUCUUUUGGGCUAAACGGGUAACGGCAUGUUUGGAUUCUUCAAAGAAAAAAGCUCCUUCUUUU